UAAAAAAUUAUUUUUCAAAACAAAAAAAAAUUGAACAUGCCAAUUGAAAGACGGCAAGCAAGUUUUACUAAUUUUCGCUAUCCCACCAACUACGGACAGCCGAUCAGAUUGCCCGGCAUAAAACUUUCACAAGAAGUGUUGAGGGAAUACGAGAGACGCGAUAUUCAAAACAGUUUGAGGAAUCAAUAAUAUGGAUGAAGCGAAAUCAAAAUAUUAAUUCAAUUCGAAUGGAAGCUGAUGGAAUUGUUUUGACUUAUGUAGAAGAAGAGUUUAAGAACACGAUUUAAGAAUCUUAUUAUCUUAUCUUAUAAACAAAAUCUUCGGAUGAAAACCGCGCGAAAUUUGCUGAGGGUUUAAAUAAAUACAUAAUUUUCAGUCUCU
rnacentral:lncRNA from 1 species